AAGCACCUAAGCAUAUAGAAUCUAUGCUUUCUCUAAAAAUGAUUUGGUUGCAAUCUAUACGUAUAUAUAUGCAUGCAUUGCCUAGAUAUUAAUAUUGUCGGUUUAUGGUGUAUGGGUAGAACCUAUUUAUGCAUUUAGUUCUUGUGAUAUUGCUGUCCUUAUACCCUAUUACCACUGGUUGGAAUUACUUGGGAUGUCUUAUUCAUUAAUGCUUAGCCAUGCUUAGUGCUAAUAGAACUAUAGGGAUGGACAAUGCUAUUAAUUGUGGUAUAUAGACAACUUGCAUUUUUAGGCAUAAAACUUGAGCACUUACACUAAAUAAUGGUUGAUGAAAUAUGUUGGACUUGGACGGGUGAUAGGGCGAUGAUGGGAGGUUGGUUUCCCCUGAUGCAAGUUGCCCCGUCUAGGUCGUUAAGGAUCGAACAUUUUGACAUCUAAUCAAGCAUCCUACGUAUUUUCCACAUGCCUUAUUUGGGAUCGGCUUGUUCUUACUAGUUCUACUGUGAUAAUUUAUACCACGUUGGAGAGUCGUGAGGCAGGUAGCCUUUGGAGGGCCUCAGGUGCCUAGGUUUGGCCGGGGGUGUCUCCCGCGUGGCGCGCCCGCCUUGGUGACAUCACGCACGCACGUGACUGAGUCGUCGGGAACCCCAGCAUGGUAUAGGUGGUUGGGUGGGGCUAAGAAAGGGCAUGUAAUGAGCUUGAAUCAAUUGUGUACCGCACUCGACGGGGUGUGUAGCAUUUGAUCUUUGUUCAUUUCGUGUGGGUCCAGUUGUACACCUCUGAUCAGAGUAUAAUCUAUUCGAAUAGACGCGUCCUCGGUUAUGGACAAUGCUUGAUGUGUUAGUCAGUUAUGAUUAGCAUCAAAUGUGGAUUAUUAUAGAUGGGAUUAUGUUUGAUGGUGGUGUUGGCAUGUUGUGCCAUGUUGGUAUGGACUUUGGUAGUCCAUGGUUGAUGAUGAGAGCGCCGUUUGGGCUCAUUUGCUUAUACAUUUCAGAAUUAUAUACUUGCUGUCCAUAAAUUAAUAUGAUGCUAGAUUUACUUGUCCUUGCUUAUUUUACUCAUUAAUUGCUCAAUAAAAUUAGCUUUAUACAAAUGUUCAACCUAGAGACCCACUAUAGGCUAAAAAAGCUUGCAUACUUCUCUCUUCCUUAUGUAUAUAUAAUUUUGGGUAAGACUUGCGAGUACAAUCUUGUACUUAACCCGGUGUCUGCAAUUUCAGGAGAGGAUUCCGAUUAUGAGUUAUGCUUCUUAUGUGGUCAUUGCUCUGCCGAGGGCGGCGAGGGCAAUGAGUGAUCUCUUGCAGCUUGGCUCUUGCCCGGUUGGUUUGCCCUACUGGGGUUGUGGCACCACCGGUUUUAUCUUUUGCUUAUGAACUCUAUUUGAGACUUCCGCUGCUAUAUUUAUGUGUUGUAUGUUGGGACCUCGGACCCUAUUAUGUGUCAUGUACCUCGUUGCACUUUAACCCUAUUAUGGUACUUGCUAUGUUUAUUAAUUGCUUGAGAUGAAAGUGUGAGGCUAGUCGCAUACCUGGGGACUAGCUAAGCAUGAGUAAUGGGUUUUGAUCGCUUGAGAUAAUCGGGGAUAGUGCUUUGGAUCGAGUCACUGGGGUAUGCUUUUGGUCGCCACCUUCGAGUGGUUGACGGGCAUAUGACGGAGUGGACUGGCAAGCUAUCUUACGGUUAUGUCUUGCGCUCACUACUCGACAUUCCGGUUAUUAUAACAGAAGGUUGUCAACCGCGAUCAUGGACACAUUGAGGACGAGUGGCUAUUUAUGAGUGUAUGGAACCCACUUCUCCAAUAGUAUGUGGUGGUCGCGUUGGACACUGGAUGGUAUAAUACUCGGGGUGUCCACAACGGUUGGUAUCAUAGCAAUGCCGACUGUAGGCUAGAGCUAAGUUGGCAAUUUGAAAAUGAUUUGCAAAAUAUUUAACUUGAGUCGAUUGUGAAAAUCUUAGUAUGUGUGAAUCAUUUUUACUCCUCAUCUCAUUCUAGUGUUCUUUCUCACCUUAUUCUCAGAUUUUCCACUCAUCUUGGUCUAAUUUGGUUGACAAAAUAAAUUUAUUACUUCUCCCAUUCAAAUAUUAGACCGAUAAUGCACCCGGUAAGUUGAGGGAAUUAAACUUUAUUCUCAGUUUGUAAGUACAAUUAAAAUGUGCAAUAGUCACUCUAAAAUGGUGCCUUGCUGUUCCUCAUGUUGCUCUUAGUCUCCCCAAAAUUUUUGACAAAUUAUGAACAUGUUUUAAACCUCCAAAAUGUCAAAUAGCCAAAUCUGGAAUUUCUGGAACAGUCUGUAAUCAAAUAAUCACUAUUUUGCUGUCAAAAUUUUUCUGGAGCUAGGCAACUACUCCAGGAACAACCACAAAAAUGUUCAGAAUUUUAUCACUUCUUUAGCCCUCUCUAAAAAUUCGUAAAGUGGCUGCUGUUCGGCAACCUGAGAAAUUUCAGAACCUUGUUUCGGAAGAAGUAAAAUAUACCAACUUAAAAAUUCGACCAAAUAUAUUGCAAAAGUGUACUCCCAGCUGAGAGACGCUAGAUAGAAAUGUGUCAUAUAGCAGUAGUGGCCAAGUUGCAGUGUUGGUCUAUUUGAAUUUUCAUGUUCCGACGAUUGAUACGCUUUUGGCCCGCUAUGUUGAUCGCAAUUGGAAAACUAUUUUGGUUUAUUGCUUCUUGUUCGAGCUUUAGUAUAGGAUGAGCUCGAUUGAUUCUUAAUGCUUCUUAUUUGGUUGCAUCAUAUCAUGCUAACAUAACUUAUCGCAUUUGUAUAUAAAUGAAUUGUUCAUUUUUAUUGUGCAUUGAAACUAAUUAUGCAAAGAUAGACUUAGCUUCGCAUGCAUUUGUAUUGUGCAUUCAUAUUAAGUCGGUAACCUAAACUUAGUUUAUCAUGUAUGAUGCGUGCUAACUUUCAGGCCAUUAUCAAUCCUUAGUUGCUCCCAUCACUAAUUAUGUUUAAUCUCAUAUCCAUAGGAUGACUCAUCCCAGCACUCGCUCUCAAUCCCAUGAUGCUCCGGAGGGUUCCCGAAGCCGUGGUGAUGAACCGCCACCUUGUCCUACCAUGGCUGAGGUUCUUAUGGUCGUGGAGUGCAACCGUGUGGCUCGAAACACCGUCCUUCAGCAAAUCACAGCAAGUGCAGCCGCUACCGCUGCCCACAUUGCCCAAGGUGCAGGCGGUGGUGGACACCAUGCCGCCGGGGGACUCGCUGAAUUUCAUCAUACUCAACCUCCGGUGUUCACUCGCUCCAAUGAUCCACUUGAUUGUCGCGCCCGGAAAAAUACCUUUUCCAGAACGCUAGUGUAUUAAUCCCCGUCCCAGGAAAAGCUGGGGUACACCACACAAACAUGAUAUAAAAGACACAUCUUUAUUAUAUCGAUAAUAUUUACAUUAUUACAAAGGCACUUCAGGCCUAUGGCUCCAUCUUCACAGGCGCUCAACUGGGGUAUAAGCCAUGGCUCCACCUAAACUUCUUCUCCAAAGCUUUACUGAAGGGGGUGAAAGAUAGAGCAAGAAUGAGUACAACCACAGUACUCAGCAAGUCACACCGGGAGAUGCAUGAUUAAUGCAAGGGAGUACAAAGGGUGAUAAUAUAGGGGUUAAGUUUUACAAUAAACAGCAUUUAAGAGUCACUUAGUUGCCCAAAGCUAUUUUAUAAAGAUGAUCCUAGAGCUACACAGUAUUAUUAAUCAAGGCCGUGAGCCCACACGAACCUGCCUUAACCCAAGGCCAACGAUAAUUCAGACCGAACUGGCAACCCGACUUGGGUCCUAGCUCAUCCCAAGCCAACCCAGGCCAACCAUUCCACAUUUUAGUUGUUAAGCAAGUUUUAAGAAUUAAACCACUAACUUGGGUACAUUACUAGGCUUGCCCAUAACCGAGGGCGCGGCUAUUCGAAUAGAUUAUGCUCUGAUUAGAGGUGUACAUCUUUACCCACAAGACACAUCUUUACUCUGCAUUCGACGGCCGUGGAACCCGUCAUAAAGGAUGUGACAUAACCCCUUUACCCAUCCUAGCCAUGACAAAAGCACCGACCCAACCUCGCCUACAGCCAGAAUCCCGAGACAGGUAGGUACGAUUGAGCCCCUAGCAGCAGGACACCGGCCCUGUGUCAUAACAUCUCGACUACCGAGCCGCAGCCCGUGUAGCCUUCAUUUGCCCUAGAGAUGUCCAUCGAGCCCCGACUUCGUCCAUCUCCAUCCAUGUACUCUUUCCAGGACUAGACUGAGCACCGAGUUAAGCCUUACCCAUUAGACAUGUGGUUAGUACGGUAGUGCUUUGCAACAUAGGCCCGAAGACCGGUCCUUAUAGUGGCCGAGGUGCUACUAGAAAAACCAUGUACCUCGAGCCCAGCCUAAAACCAUUUUGGGAGUUUUGAAUAGAGGGGGGAGGUGUGUGUUCAAUUCCAUCACAAGCCAACCAUUCCACAGUGUCCAAAUGAUAUGAGAACUCCCAAAGUCUAAAGUUAUAAAACCACCUAGUGUUGCCUAAUUAAUCAGCGAAGCAUCUACCUAAAUUCAUACUAGUGGAACCGUUAAUAGAGUACCCACUAGUUGGGGUUUUGUUUAUCCUAGGGUGAACAAGGUAAUAAUAACAAUAGCAAUAAUAAUGUCAUAACAAAGGUAAAUAGGCAUGGCUAAAUAAAACAGUGAUAACGCGGGAAUUUAAGUAAAGCGGUAAUGCAAUAAUUUAAAUCAAAAUAAUUUUAUAAACUGGGAUUCAAUAUGCUCAAGGGUGAUGCGACUUGCCUUGCUUACAGAGAACGGCCUUCCGAACCUUCGACGACGACCGUGAACCACGCUUCGGGAACCUCCGGAACGACAGAAGCUACGUGAAGCACACAAGCAAAACUACAAGCCUAUGAAGAAGCAAUAACAAUACAUAAAAAGAAAGCACGUGGUUCUUUAGGUUAUAACAAACAUUACGAGACUUGAACAGGUCGAUUCAGAGCUCGUAUGACCAAUAUUUGGUCAUCAAGUUUAAUGUUGUCACGUGGAGAUUUACGGAUUAUUGUAAUUAGGCUUUGCAACUAUAAAACAUGUGUAAGCACUAGCCUGGAAAAGACAGGAAGGCUGCGCCGUUGACAUGCGGACCCCACAUGUCAACCUAAGGGACCACGGUGGACCGGGUACACAGAGACGGUCCACGGGUCGACGGAAGCGGACCCCGUGUGUCAACCGAGGCGAGUGGCCGGCAAACGGACUCUACCAGACACCACGCGGCUGCACACGUGGAAACCACGCGGCUACCGAGCAGGCACACAAACACGGUCACCACACGCACCCACGAAUGACUACAGACACCGGUACACGGGUACCGGGGUCGACAACCGCACAACGGGCACGGGGCGACACCGAAAGGACGAGGAUGGGGCAGCGAGAGGAGGCACCCUUACCACCACGCGAAAAGGCGCGGCACGACGACGACGAAUGGGCACGGCGGAGACGGCUCGGGGACGAUGGAGGCGAACGACUUCGGCGGCGAUCCUUGGACGAAGGCGAGACGCGGCCAGCACGAGGCUUGACGACGUGGAGCCGAGGACGAAGACGACGACGGGGCUGCAGCAGCUCGCUUGACGAACCACUGGCGGCAAACGCAAUUGGCUUGACGGAGGGACGAAUGCCACGACGACCGGGAACGACGGGAGGACGACGACCGGAACCGGCGAGGAGGCGAUGAGGGCAGCCGGCAGCAGCUACACGGAUGCGAGGACGGCGCGGAACACGCCGCUGUGAUGACGAUGAUGGUGGCGGCGCAGCAAGACGAUGAGCUGGGUGACCGACGGGACGUCGACGACGAGGAUGAACGGAGACGACGACGAUGGACCGCGGAGGGGUUUGGAUGGAGGGGAGGCGAUGCCAAGGAAGAUGUCGCCGGCUCGCCGCUGUGAUUCCGGAGGUGGUGGUGGCGCGGCCGACGGUGCACGUGUGGAGGAAGGGCCGACCGGGGAAAUUCCGGCGAGGCGGAUGGAGAGGCCGGCGUGGCACGGCGGUGUUCCGGCGAAAUUCGGGCGACGUCGUGGCCUAGCCGAGGAAGAGGACGGAGUUCCGGUGCCGGGAGAGGUGGUGGCGACAACGGCCGACGCACAGGAGACGCGGCAGAGGCGGAACAGUGGCAGCAACGCCACUGUUGCCGGCGAGGAUGCACUUCCGGAGGUCUCCGCGGGAAACGGAGAGCAUGCCGGGGAAGGGGAGGCGACUGCGACGCCGGGGGAGGCGAUGGCACGGCCGGCCGGCUAGCUGACGCGGCGGCAGGGGCGGUUGGAGUCGGCCGGUGCUAGGGAGUGAGAAGGAGGCGGCGUGGAGGUGGCUAAAGACUCGGAAGGGACCAAAAUGUAACGAGGGGAGGAUGAGGACUUCGUUUUAUAGGGCAAGGAGGGAGUGCCAGUCACGGGAGAGGUCAAAGAAGGGGGAUUAAAUCCCGGCGAUUGGGGAUGGGAUUAAAUGGGGAAAGUUAGGGGAACUAGAGAGGAAGGGAUGUGGAUUCCAUUUCUCUAACCAAUUUGAAUUAAUCCGGCAUGAAUGGAGCGGAUUCGGGGGAGGAAUUGGUGCAAGGGUUAAUGGGAGAGAGGAGAGAGAGGAGCCGGCUGGGAGGUAGAAGACGACCGGGUGGGUGGACCCAUUGGUCCGGCGCGAGGCGCGCACGUGCGCCGCACGUGCAGAGGGGCGCGAGGGAGAGGAGGGAGGUGGCCUGGGGCGGCAGGUCGGCUGGGCCGGGAUAGGGUAGGGGCGGCCCAAGCGGAAGAGGAGGGAAGAGGUGGGCCGGGAGGAGGAGGGGAGGCCUGGGAUAGAUAGUGUGGAGAUUAUGGGUACCCCAUACCCACACGGCAUGGUUAUCCGACUAGUUAUAGGGGAUAACUUAUAUAUAUGGAACAUGUAACAGAUCAUGACUUGGGUGUUACGUUUCCUUGUAUAUUACGGAACGGCCCAAAGUCCUGGUUUGAUAAUAUUGUAAAGUAGAUUUAGGAAACCGAUACCGUAUUGGUUAAGGUUUCUAUCUUGUAAUCCUGCCCCUUAUCCUAUAUAAGGUGGGCAGGAGGCCCUCUAGGGGGCAUAUGAGACAACUAGAUCAUCAGAUCGAUACUACACUCGGCAGAUUCAAAUCCCCAAACAGGAGUAGGGUAUUACCUCUCAUUGGGAGGGCCUGAACCUAUCUAAAUCCUUGUCUCUGCAUCCAUCCACUUUUAGGUCUCGUGCGCUACCCCCUUUUAUUAUUGCCGAAUUCAUGUUUCGACAGUUGGCGCGCCAGGUAGGGGUGCGUCGAGUUUCCUAUCGAGAAAUGCGAUGGAAUCAACUCCAUGAGUCGCCGGCUUCGUCUUCGCUACGGGAUUGUCACUUCCUCGUCGCCGACAACUUCGACAAGCUCUCAUUCUCUGACUUGGAUUCAAACCAGUCAGGAGAGAUUCAAUCUAACUAAGAAGGAGAUGCCACUUUUAGGAGUUAUCUCCCCGACGAGGCCUCAUCAGUUCCGCUCGACCGGAGAACACCGCCGCCGCCGACACGCGAAGAGGGAGAUCGUGUGCUGCAUGUGCCUGCAGCGGUGUCAGCGGUGGCCUCACAUCGCGCUCGCGAUAGUGCUCAUGGUGACCUCGCGCUGGUGUUGCGAGGCAGCAAGACCGAUCUCUCCCUGAUGGCGUCCUCGGAUACUCCAAUCUAUUAUCAUUAGAUUAAUUUCUAAUCAGAUUAAUUUGCUCUGUUGUGCUUUCUCUGUUUUUGCAUGUACUGACGACGAGACGGGCGGCAUCCAUCUGAGGUCAUCUCUGCCACGUAUUAAUCCAUGCAUGUGUUGCUGGAUUAAUGCCGGCCAAAUCUCCAGUCAAUCAUGCUAUUGGCAAACGAACCAACAUGCAUACUGCAUAUAUGCACCGACACGUGCAUUAUACCUACAGAGCAUUAAUCUCUAAUUUCUAAUUAGAUUUAUUUAUAAUCGCAACUUAACUGAAGCUUGUGUUGGCUAUUUUGUUCGCAUGUUUGGAGAUUCCACACGCCGGGGGGCUGCGGACCAGUGCCGCCUUUGCGUGCCUAACGCGGCCCGACUGCUCCUAGGGCAAGCACGACCUGGAUGUGACGCCGCACGUCGGGCGCUUCGGUCUUCACCCGGCCAACACAGCCCGACUACGCUGCUUCCGCCGCGGGCUCGGGAGUUUCGCCUUUGUGCGCCGCCGCCUCAUCCGCUGCCAACUGAUGUUUCCGCCUGCACGGUUGGCCUAUUAUGCCAUCGUCCAUGGGCGUCCACAUCUUCACCGACCGGCUGGCAUUUGUCACCGCCGACUGGUGUUCUCACCUACACGGUUGGUUGGUCACACCACUGUUCAUGGGCGUCCACGUCUUCACCGACCGGCUUGCCUUCACCGCCGUCGACUGGUGUCUCCGCCUACACGGCUGGCCUAUUAUGCCGCCGUUGUUGGGCGUCUACGACUUCACCGCUGGCCUGCCUCCUUCGCCGCCGACUGGUGUCCUCGCCUAUACGGUUGGUUGGUCACACCACCGUUCAUAGGCGUCCACGUCUUCACCGACCGGCUUGCCUUUGCCGCCGCCGACUGGUGUCUCUGCCAACACGGCUGGCCUAUUAUGCCGCUGUUGGUGGGGAUCUUCGCUUUCACCGUCAACCGCCUUCGUUGCCGCCUACUGGUGUCUUCAUUGUUAUUGAUGGACGACUUUGUUCCCACGCUGGUCACCUCUGCCAUCAUCAAGCGGAAUAUUACGAAGCUAUGUCAUCAUUAAUUUUCUUUAUAUGAUAUUUUUCUUUUCCUCUGCCUCACUACGUCAACUGGUUCGCCGUUGACUAGUGAGUCGGGGGCUACAGAUGUUAUAUCAUAUUUUUUAAACAAUUUUCAUAAUAUUUAUCUUGAUUGCUUGCGACAUAUUCUGAGUACAAAAGUGCCUAUCGAGUUAUGGAGUUCCAUCUUCCUAUGCUUUUCGUUUGGUUUGCCAAUAGAUAGUUGCCUUUGGGCCGAUUCCUAGCACCCGGGGGCUUGGUGGAUGGACCGAAUAACGCAAGGUGCUAAGUAUUAUUCGGAAUAAAUCAAAAGCAUAGAGAUAAGAUAAUUUAUUUUCUGCUCUUAAUAAUUGCAAAAGUACCCGAGUAGUAAACUCCGAUCCGUGAAACUUUGUUCCAUUAAUGACGAACUCAUGUCACUCAUAUGCAUGUUUGGGAAGUGCUUAGGCCGACUCCCGGUGCUUGGUGGCUAUGACUAGUCGGGCAGAGUGUUUAAACGUAAUGAGUCAUCUGCUCGGGGAAAUCAAAAUUGACAAGAGAAGAAAUACAUAUUUAUAAAUAUUUUAAAAUACUUGAAUUUUUCUUGAGUAUUAUAUUUAUAUCAGAUACUACUCAUCCUAUAUGUUUGUUCUACAGGAUCCAGAUAUAGAUAUGCAUAAAAGGGAUUCAUGGCUUUAAGCUUAUCUCUUACGAUCCAGGAAUGGAUCAGUCAGAACAUCACCACAGGCUUGCUUUCGCCGCCGCCGACUGGUGUCACCGCCUGCACGGCUGGCCUAUUAUGCCGCUGUUGUUCGGUGUCAACGUCUUCACCGACCGGUCGUCUCGUCCACCGCCGACUGGUGUCACCGCCUCAACGGCUGGCUUAUUAUGCCGCCGUUGUUGGGCGUCUACGUCUUCACCGACCGGCCGCCUCAUCCGCCGCCGACUGGUGUCUCCGCCUAAACGGCUGGAAUAUUAUGCCGCCGUUGUUGGGCGUCUACGUCUUCACCGACCGGCCGCCUCGUCCGCCGCCGACUUGUGUUUCCACCUGCACAGCUGGCAUAUUAUGCCGCCGUUGUUGGGCGUCUACGUCUUCACCGACCGGCCGCCUCGUCCGCCGCCGACUGGUGUUUCCGUCUACACGGUUGGCCUAUUAUGCUGCUGUUGUUGGGCGUCAACGUCUUCACCGACCGACCGCCUCGUCCACCGCCGACUGGUGUCACCGCAUGCACGGCUGGCUUAUUAUGCCGCCGUUGUUGGGCGUCUACGUCUUCACCGACCGGCCGCCUCGUCCGCCGCCGACUGGUGUCUCCGUCUACACGGCUGGCAUAUUAUGCCGCCGUUGUUGGGCGUCUACGUCUUCACUGACUGGCCGCCUCGUCCGCCGCCGACUGGUGUUUCCGUCUACACGGUUGGCUUAUUAUGCCGCUGUUGUUGGGCGUCUACGUCUUCACCGAUUGGUCUCCUCGUCCGCCGCCGACUGGUGUCUCCGCCUAUACGGCUGGCAUAUUAUGCCGCCGUUGUUGGGCGUUUACGUCUUCACCAACCGGCCGCCUCGUCCGCCGCCGACUGGUGUUUCCGCCUGCACAGCUGGCCUAUUAUGCCGCCGUUGUUGGGUGUCUACAUCUUCACCGACCAGCUGCCUCGUCCGCCGCCGACUGGUGUCUCCGCGUACACAGCUGGCAUAUUAUGCCGCUGUUGUUGGGCAUCUACGUCUUCACCGACCGGCCGCCUCGUCCGCCGCCGAUUGGUGUUUCCGCCUACACGGCUAGCAUAUUAUGCCGCUGUUGUUGGGCGUCUACGUCUUCACCGACCGGCCGCCUCGUUCGCCGCCGACUGGUGUUUCCGCCUGCACAGCUGGCCUAUUAUGCUGCCGUUGUUGGGCGUCUACGUCUUCACCGAUCAGCCGCCUUGUCCGCCUCCAACUGGUGUUUCCGUCUACACGGCUGGCUUAUUAUGCCGCCGUUGUUGAACGCGUACAUCUUCACCGACCGGCCGCCUCAUAUGACGCCAACUGGUGCUAUCGUCUUCACGGCUGGCCACGUUGCCACCACGACUAAUAGGCGUCAUCAUCUUCAACACAAGCUGUCUACAUCUGCUGCCGACUGGUUUCUUCACUUCCAUGGCUGCAUUAUUCUGCCACUUUUGAUUGGCCUUAUCGUCUUCACCGCCGGUCGUCUCGUCUGCUAUUGACUGGUGUCCUUGCCUCUACGUCUGGUUUAUACCGCUACCACUAUUGAUGGACAUCAUCGUCUUCCGCCGCCGACUGGUGCUUUUAUCUUCACAAUUGCGCGUCUUCGCUACCGGUUUGCUUCUGUUGCUGCUGACUCGUGUUCACUUCAUCAUGGCUAUGCAACUUUGUCACCAUGGUAGAGCGGCUUCAUCUUUAUUAUCUUCGGCACCGGCAAACUCUAUUGCCUCUACUUCGCAAGCUUUGCUACUUCACCAACCACGACGUCUUUGUGAACCUCAACAUCUCGGCAUGCGAUGCCGUGUUAUUUUACUACAACAAGUGGCUCUCCAAUAUUCAGGAGAGCCAUUAUCUUCAAUCAAGCAAUGACUACUCGACGACAAGAAGCUAUAAUUCUCGACUCUAUGUUCAGUUGUUUCCCAACUAACCGAAGAGUCGGGGGCUACACAAAUACAUGGCUCAAAAUUCGACAAGCUUUAUGUCAAGAUGAAGCAAUCAAUUAAUCAGUCAACAAGUCAACUCUGGGAGUCAUCAAUUUUGUCUUCGCUUCAAAGCAGUAGGUCAAGAUUAAAUUUCCAUGUCUGGGAGUUUGGAGUCACUGACAUCAUCACUAGCACCUCUGCUUCAUCGACCCUGACAUCUCCGUUGUUGCUAAUGGAUGAUUAUGUCUUUACCAACUUAUUAUUUCACCUUCACGGUUGACCUACUAUGCAAAUGCUGAUGAGCGUCUUCGUCAUUAUCAUUGGUUGCGACACUGCUAUUGACUGGAUCGCCGAUAUCGUCAUCUUCAUCAUGUCAGUUGCGUUUGUCGUCGCCGACUCUUUUCUUCAUCUUCAGGAUUGGUGGAUUUCGUCAUAGCCUUUGAUUUGCCUCGUCUGUCACCGAUUGAUUAUUUCGCUGCCAUGACUACACAACUUUAUCACUGGGCGCUUUCAUCUUCAUUGAUGGCUGACCUGACUACUGUCGACUGGUUUCUUCGUCUCCAUGGCUAUGCAACUUCAUCACUUUUGAUUGCUACCAUCAAUGGACCAUUGUGACUACAGAAGGACAGGCUAUAUGAUCAGGGGCUUACUAGUUCAAACACAAGUAUCAUACCUUCAAUUUGGACUUGUUCCGGAUACAUGCAACAUGAAUUCAUGAUCAUGGAUUUAUUUUCUAUGCUCAAAGACUGGACUAUUUAUUAUUCCCCGUAAGGGUUAUCAACCAAAUACUUGCGCCAGUCGGGAUUCAAUCUUUAUAUCUAUUUUGGAGUAUCCCAUAAGGGAUAAUCACUCAGAUCAGAAGCUAUUCAUAUGAGCUACACUUGGUAUAUAUUACCCGGAAGAUUUAUUACUCGGGAGCAUGUUACAUGCGUCAUCCUUUAAAGGGUGUCGAAGGCAUAUUUUUUGGCCUAGGCCUAAUAUGUCUGCAGUCCAUAUUUUCAGGUGUGGCCUGUCACGUUCUUUUUGCUUAGGCCAAAGUGCGCGUGAUCAAGUGCUCAAUACCUUAAAAUCCUUUUAUACCGCAGUUACUCAACUUUUUAGGAGUUGGUACAAUGCAUUUUAAAAGGUGCCAAACAGUAAUGCUUUAUAUAGCUGCCCGCUGACUUUUUUAUAUAAGUCAAGGCGCUGUUUGGAUUCAUAAAGCAAUUGAUUGGAUACAAUAUCAUUGCUUUUUGCCACGUAAGUGUGCACUUUUAUUGACCAAUAUUAUGGCUUAGGCUCAUUAUAUAUUUUGGUCAUUUUCCAGGCGGUUGGUAAAUCCUUUAUGAGUUUAUUUACUCGGAUUUUACACCACAUAUGCCAUAUAUUUCCAGGUGUGGUGAAACCAUGUGUCUUUUAGGGACUUAAGCACAUCUGUUAAAGCAGUGUGCGCAUGGCGUAUGCCCAAUACUUUGGAAAUUUCUUUAUUCACAACAUACAAGCUUCUUUAUAGCUGUUUUGCUAUGUGAAUUUUCAAUGAUGUGGCCAACCUUAGAUUACACUCAUCAUAUUUUACAAAGUAGUCGGUAUAUCACUCGGAUCAUGUUAUUCAGGGAUUCACACCGCAUAUGCUACAUAUUAAUAUCAAGUCGCUUGGUUGACCAUAAUUAUUGAAACCACUUGGUUGGUUGGAUUAUUUAUUCCUUGACUAUAUACUUGGUUUGUUCAGUUAACCACAUAAUCGGGGGCUACACCUAUUAGGUGCAUCUAGUCGAUGCACCUGACUUUAUUUUUCAGCCCUCCACAGUCUUCAGAUUUGGUAAAAGUACUCGGGAGAUCAUGGCAAAGAUGAUUGAAGCACUCGGCUUUGGAGUAAUCUAGUUCGAGAGAAGAUUAUCUUUUCGACUGUGAAGGUCUCAGGGGCUACUGUGGAGAUUAUGGGUACCCCAUACCCACACGGCAUGGUUAUCCUACUAGUUAUAGGGGAUAACUUAUAUAUAUGGAACAUGUAACAGAUCAUGACUUGGGUGUUACGUUUCCUUGUAUCUUACGGAAUGGCCCAAAGUCCUGGUUUGAUAAUAUUGUAAAGUAGAUUUAGGAAACCGAUACCGUAUUGAUUAAGGUUUCUAUCUUGUAAUCCUGCCCCUCAUCCUAUAUAAGGUGGGCAGGAGGCCCUCUAGGGGGCAUAUGAGACAACUAGAUCGUCAGAUCUAUACUACACUCGGCGGAUUCAAAUCCCCAAACAGGAGUAGGGUAUUACCUCUCAUUGGGAGGGCCUGAACCUGUCUAAAUCCUUGUCUCCGCAUCCAUCCACUUUUAGGUCUCGUGCGCUACCCUCUUUUAUUAUUGCCGAAUUUAUGUUUCGACAGAGAAGAAAGGAAAAAGAGAGGGACGGAAGAGAGACUUCAGCCGCGGGCCGAGGGAGAGAGGAAAACUUUGGGCCAGACUUGGCCCAAAGGGAAAAGGAGGAUUAAUUUUUAGUUUUUCUUUUUAAUAAAUUUUGAUAAUUGUUUUUGUUGCUUAAUAAUUAUUCCCGGUGUUCUGAAAAUUCAAGUUAAAUUUGAGGGCUCCUUUUAGACCAAGGAGAAUUUAAAAAAAAUUCUCUAGGCCACAUUCGAAUUUUUCUUGUACGCAUUUUAACGUUUGCCAAAUUCUAUUUGAAUUUUAAUUAAUUCUAUUAUUCCUUUUAGAAAAUGAAUUUUAUUUCAGGAUGAAUUUAUCACGGGCGUGACAAAUCCACCCCCCUUACAGGAAUCUCGCCCCCGAGAUUCGAGAAGACUAGCAAGAAGAUAGGUUGGGCGGUCUUCUCUUCUGGUCUGACUUCUUCCGUUGCGUCUUCUUUAACAAACUUGCCCAGCAAAACUUCCCCACUCUGAACUGCUUGGCUUGAUCUCCUGUUGCAGAUGGAAUCUUCUUUUCACCUGACUUAUCCUUGGUUGCACCUUGAGCUGACUUCGACUGGGGUGCGGUACUUGAAGACGGGGUUUCAGUUCGAGGACUUCUCAUAAUUCAUACCCUUGGUGUCAAUCUCAUACAAGUUACCAAUUUCACGUUGUGCGUCGAUACCAACUUGUCAUUACUAGGAUACCAUGCUUGUCAUCAUGAGAAUACCAUGCUUGGCGUUUCCUUCCAGCUUACCACCAAAUGCUUUAGACUAUCAUAUCCCGCUUACCAAGGAUACCAUGAUUGACAACUUGCCACUAACUGUCUCAUAUUAGCUUUUCUGGUCUCUGGGUGCUAGAUACUUCUGCUAUUCACUGCAAGGGUCGAUCACUCUAACUUUGAAUUAUGCUUCCCAAGAGAACCAACUUAUCCCACUUGACAUGCUUUGACGUCUUCCCAAAUGACUUUACUGCUAGACUUGUUAUUGUCUGAUCGUUAUCCUGCCAAGUCUGAAGCUUUUUUAUUGGAUGUGAUUUUAAUCUGACCUCUGUAGAUUAUCCUUGAACAUAUCACUUGGUUCAUAACUGGGAAUGGCUCUCAUGAACAAGAAACUCGGAUCCACUUUCUUUACAUUCGGUUUACUUUCCACUAUUCUCUUCAUGUUGUCAUCAUUUAGCAUUCAACGUAUUCUUUCACACCUUCAACCUUGAUGUGUUCUUUCCCAAUGGAUCGAUUGCUAGGAAAUUGUGUUGAACGAUACUAGUGCAUGUGCUUUUAUUCUAGGUAGCAUCUAAUACAGAGCCGAAGGUUGAACCGAGCUUUAGAUUCCAACUGUUCAGGUUAACUUCUUGACUUCUUGGUCAUGUCACAAAGGUUUCCAUCCUUGUCCUCAUGGAAGUACUUCUACCUGUGGUCAUCUUGCUUACUCACGAAUUCAUCUGCCUUAAUGACAUGGUGACUGUUGUAGGGUCGAUUGCUAUUGGGAGUCUUCCUCGAGUGACACAAAUCAUGUUUCUCAUUAUCCUUUACCAAUCACCUUUCGACCUACUUCUUUUCCCAGUAACCAAACAUCUUUUCCGAUCUCUUCCGUUAAUCACCUUUUGACCUUUCUCAACCAAGUACUCUUCACUCCGGAUGUUGUGGGUGCUUCUGGGGCAAUGAGGUCCUUGGGCCUACUGCCUUUCAGAGAAACCUUGAAAUAGUUCGUCAAAAGCUAUACGGACUAUCGUUGCCUUUGAUCCGAAAAAGGACACAUCAGAAACUCUUAGUCCAAACAAAUGUCUCUUUGGUUGAUCACUUGAUUUUCUUCGCCAUCAAUUGCUAGGUUAUUUGAUUCAUAACAGAUUAUGAGCUUACGGAAGUGAGACCCUAGGUCUCCUUAAUCAUCAACAAAAUGUACACAACUCACAACACUUGCAGUCUCAAUAUGGAUCCUUCAUACAUUUGCCAAACUCAUUCAUUAUUUCCCGUUUCUUCCUUAUUACACGGUUGGUAGAGAACAACUAUAAAACAAAAGUACUUGAACAUCGAUACAAGAGUGUUAUGGUUGCUUCUGACUAGCACUAGGCUUGACAGGUACUGCAUUUGCUCCAGUGAACACUUGGCGAUUGGCAUGUCUGCUUCUUGUAAAUUGGCGAAAAUGUGGAGGCCGAUUUUUUUUCCUUGGUUAGGGACAGUCCCUGGAGUAAUGUCGUGGUUCUUUGCAGUUGUAACAAACCAUAACUUUUUUACACUCGAGUUCUCCACCUUGUACUUGAUUUCUUGGCUGUUGUUGAACGUGCUGAUGAAGCCUAGAGGGGGGGUUAAUAGGCUGUCCCUGAAAACUUAAAAACAAAUCGCAGCGUUAAAAUUCAAACAGACCCGGAACAUCGUGGUAAGGAACUCCGGAACUUCCGGCCUGCCAGGCCCAGAACUUCCGGUGUUCUUAGGACAGGAACUUCCGGGUUACAAAACAAGGAUGAAAUUCAUAUUUCGAAUCAGGAGACUAAGCCAAUCUUCACAAGAUGAUGCACAGGUAUUCUAAGUAGAAGAUAGAUCACAGAAACAUCCAAAAAAACAUCACAGAAAGAGACAAGAGCAAUUUUUUUCCUGAAGUUCGAAUCUUGCGAUCCUACUCUCCGUUGAGGAGCUCCAAAGAGCUGGGUCUCGAUUAACCUCUUGCCUCACUUGUGCAAAAACUCCAGAGGAAAUCCACAGCCUUCAACCACAAACACCCCUAGGCAAGUUUCUAGAAUUGAGUGAUCACCAAAAUCCAACUCAAACUACUUCUAGAAAUUCGCCACAAGUGUAGGUUGCUCUACUUGGAAAUCCUCUAGAAUCUCAGCACAAGAACUUCAUUAACUUACCUCGUUCCCUUUUGGAGGAGAGGAGAUCCUUCAUAAACUUACCCGGGACAUCCACAAUAUGCAACGGAUUCUCGUGGGCGACACCUAACCGUCUAGGAGAUCAUCUCCAAGAGUAAUUAGCACCGAGAUGACAGCCCACGAGAUAUUCCAAGUGCUCACCCAAGAUCCUAGUCUUCACACAUCUCCAAAUCUUCUUCUCUCCCUCUCAAUCUCUCUUUCUCACAAGAAUUAGGCUCUAGAUUGAGUGGAGAAGGCAAGAAACACUUGGGAGAGGCUAGCAACAGCUCUAGGUUCAAAAAGUGAAAGUGGAAGGCCAAGGAACGAGCUGGAAACGAGCUGUAUAUGUAUAACGGCUAGGUGACGUCAUCUAGCCGUUACUCACAAAUUUGAACUGGAAACUAGACAGGAAGUUCCGGACCUGGAAGACAGGAAGUUCCGGACUUGCAUUUUUGGACCAAUGGAGCAUUUGCAAAAAUGACUCCUAGGGAAACUUGACACUUGGUUCACACUAAGAGCACUUGAGAUAUCUCAGAGCAUCACCUAGAACCCCUCUUAAUAGUACGGUUUUUUCUAAAAACUCGAUUGCAAAAAAUAAACUAUCCUAUGCACUUCUCGAGUUCCGGUCCGCUUUGAUUUUAUACUUUUGGGGGGUCUCCACGCAUCCAUCUUCCACACCUUGGACUAAUGCACCUGAAAGAUACUCAAUGAACUCAUUAGUCCCUUAACCACAUUUGUCAUUAAUCACCAAAACCCACUAGGGGGAUUAAUGCACUUUCAAUCUCCCCCUUUUUGGUGAUUGAUGACAACAUGGUUAAAGCUUACAAAAGAUUGAUAAUAAUUUUGUUUUGAAUGGUUAGAGGUGAAUGAAACUCCCCCUUAGUGUAUGCAUAUGGAAAAUAUGAGUGAAGCUCAUAUGCAUAUAUAUAACGGAGCAACCGAGGAGAGUUUCCUUCAUCCCUACUCAUUCGUGGGAUGCAAAAAGCAGUAAGAAUAAAUAUGAUAUGCAAAAGAUACGACAUGGUGAGCACUCAAAAGGAUAAAAUCAACAUCACAUCACAAACAACAAAUAAGACACUCAUAGCAUAAAUGAAGAGCAAUAUAAAUAAAGAGCAGCUAAGAGCAUCUAACUGUCAUUACAUCCACACAAAUAGAGAAUUAUUACAUGUCCAUAAGAUCUUAAGAGUAGAGGCCAAAGGAUUGCCAGGUCCGGAACUUCCGGAUAAGAUACCCGGAACUUCCGGACAAGCUGACAUGACAAUAAAGCGAGGGAGCUGCCAUGUUCGGAACUUCCGGAUAAGAGGAUCCGGAACUUCCGGAUAAACAGACAGAGCAGGCAGCAAGCAGCAAAAACAAAAUUUUGACCCCCUUCGAUUGCAAUUUUCUCCCCCUUUGGCAUCAAGGCACCAAAAAGAGACAAUAUCACAAGGGAAGAAGAGGAUCAAGCCUCAUCAUCAUCGCCAUCAGAAGGAAUGAUCUCGGUGUCGCCGGAGUGAGGAGAGUCGAUGUCUUGCCCGGCGGCGUCCACUGCCUCAUCUGGAUCUGUAGGAAUAUUCUCAGUAGGUGCAUCUGACUCCUCAUCAUCGCUGCUCUCCUCGGAGUGAGAGGACUCCUCAUUGAAGAAACGAGAAGUGCCAGAGGGACCCUCACCACUAGCAAUGUCUCAAGCAGUCUCAUAAGCAGCAAAAGGAUCAACAAACUCCUCAUCAUCAGAAAUGUCAGAGUCAUCCUUGCCUGCUGCAAUCCAAUCUUCCUUCUGACGCCUCUCUAUCUUGUUUACCUUCUUAGCUAUCUUGGCACACAUACAAAAGAUAGCCCUGAGAGCCUUCUUUAUGGGAGAAGAAGACUCAGAACGCUGUGGUGCAGCAGAGGAAGAAGGAGCAGCUGAGGUGGAAGCACGAGUGACUCUGGCAGUAGAAGUAGUUGAAGUAGUGGGAGCAUGAGGACAAAAAGGCUUGUGUUGAUUGUCCUUGAAAUAACAAAUCCCAGUCUUGGCCUCAAUCAUCUUCAUGAUAUAUGGAGCAUAGAUGCAACCCCUCUUUGGCUCACACACUGUCUCGUAGAUCUCACUCCAGAUAAGCUUCAUGAUGCUGAAAUCUGGCUUGUUGUAGCGCAUGCGACUGAGGAGGAGCGCAUGCCUACCUGAAAGAGCUGUAGCAUCUCCCACUUUGGGGAGCAAAGACCACCUGAAGAUCGAGUACAACACUCUAUAGUAUGGACGCAACCCUCGAGUAGUCCCCAAACAAUCCUUGGGAGCAUCCUUCUCAUACAUAAAGGUAGUGUUGGUCGGUGACAGAGCAUCCUCUACAAUGAUAUGUGGGCGACUCAGGUCAUCAUCAUCUAACCCCAAAGCUGCAGCAAACUGUGCCAUAGAGACACUAUACUGCUGCCCCUGAAUGGUCCACUUCACAAAAUCAAGCCCCUUCUUGGUGGUGCCAAAGAAAGCAGUGGAGUAGAACUGACCAGUCACUUCCUCAUUCCAGGAAUACUGCAAGGCUAACAAAUCUGCCACGUGCUUGCGCUCACACACCUUGCGCACCUCAUUGAAAACUAAGUUGUUCUUUGAGGACAUGUACUGCCAGUCUAGCCACUUCAUCUCUACCACUGGAUGAGAUCUUCCCAUGAUCACAGAAUUAUACCAAUCAACCUGCACCAAGGUCCUGAAUCUGUCAUCCUGAGAGUUAGCAGGCAAAGUAUCAGGACUCAUCAUUGUCCUUUCCACACUUGAGCAGAUUUUUCAGAUAGUUCACUCUUGGGCGUCUAGGAUCAGGAUCAACAACCCUUGUCUUGUAAAGUCUCAAGGGAUUGCUUUCAGAACCAGGCUCAUCCUCAUUGCCACCAUUAUCUGACUCUGAUGCAGCUGGAGAGGGAGAGCGGGGAGCAUCACGAAUGACAAUGCUACCAUCCCUCCUGAAAUGGAUCGGAAUCUGACUCCCACUGUAAAAAUCUCCAACGUUUUCUUUGCCCAAUCUCCCCCUAGGACCAUGAACUGGGGGGCUCGAGUCAGCAGGAACAUCUUGUGAAAGCUUCUGUCUCUUCUCACGAGGCAUAAUGACCACUGCAACAAGAAUCAACAAGGUUGGAGUGCAAUGGUUAAAAGAAACAGUAGCAGAAUCAAGGUUACUGGCUGGCUAGACAGAGACCGGAAGUUCCGGGCCAAGAACACUGGAACUUCCGGCCUACAAAACUGAAGAACAGAGGAUUUAACCAGGCCAGUGCAUGUGACAAAAUCCUAUAGAUCGGCAAUCUACAAGGUAGCAGGAACAAUUCUAUCCAAAAGGUUUUCUCCCUAGGUUCACAUAUUUAGAGAUCGGGGCAAAAACAUGAUGAACCAAAAGAGAAGAUCAAAAGUGCUACCUAGAGAGGAGAAAUCGCAAAUCGAUCGCGGGAUGAACCUCCUAGCCACCAAUGUAGUUGAUUCCACGGAGAGGAAUCAAAUUUCCACGGUUUGAAUAGAAAAUCGCCGAGAGGAGCACUGUAGCGGCGGCUAGGGUUUGGGAAUCAGGGAGGAGAAGAAGUGAGGAGAGAGAGAACAGGCUCGGGCUCCCCCGGGUAUUUAUACCCCCGACCCCCGGAAGUUCUGGACUGGGAUGACCGGAACUUCCGGCCUGACAGAACAGAGGGCAGUCAGGCCCAAGUUCAAAGGAAUAGAUGAGAAUUCAAUGAUUUAGAAAUAAAAACCUAUGAAUAUAUAGAGACUUAUGAUGCAUAUGACCAGCCAACAAUCAACAUUACAUAAGAAUGGUCAAUAUACAUCACAAGAAGGGAUAAAAACCAAAUUUUCUCAAUAAAAACACACACAAAAAAUUUUGCAAAAUUUCACAAAAGGGUUUUUGGAUAAUAGAGGGAAUGUUUGAGCUUUAUUCCUAGUAUCAAGACCAUCUUCUACACAAGAAGUGAUCUCAAGACACAAAAGCUCUUUUUUUUUUAAUUUACAUUUUAGUGACACAUGUUUGGCUAUGAAUUAGCCAACCACCCAUCAGCUAAUGUUACGAGAGUCUAAGAUAUUGAGCUCACCCCUAAGCUCGCAAAAUCUUUUCUCAUCUAAAGGCUUGGUGAAAAUGUCGGCUAAUUGGGUCUUGGUUCUCACAUGGUAAGACAUAUGUCUCAUUUAGUCUCGUGAUCUCUCAAAAAGUGGUGGCGAAUAUCUAUGUGCUUGUUUCUUGAGCGUUGGGCGGGAUUAUUGGCUAUUUUGAUGGCACUCUCAUUGUCACAUAGGAGUGGGAUCUUGGUAAAGUUGUAGCCAAAGUAUUUUAGGGUUUGUUUCAUCCAAAGGAGUUGGGCACAACAAGAAUCGGCGGCGAUAUAUUUGGCUUCGGCGGUGGAUAAAGCAAUGGAAUUUUGCUUCUUGGAGAACCAAGAAACAAGGGACCGCCCAAGAAAUUGACAAGUCCCGAUUGUACUUUUUCUAUGAACCUUACACCCGGCAUAAUCCGAAUCGGAAUAGCCCAAAAGCUCAAAGUCACAACCCUUAGGAUACCACAAGCCAAGAUUAGGAGUGUGAACUAAAUAUCUUAGAAUUCUCUUGACGGCAAUCAAAUGGCACUCUUUAGGCUCCGCUUGAAAACGGGCACACAUACACACACUAAGCAUGAUGUCGGGAUGUCACGUCCUGAUAAAUUCAUCCCGAAAUAAAAAUCAUUUUCUAAAAGGAAUAAUAGAAUUAAUUAAAAUUUGAAAAGAAAUUGGCAAACACUAAAAUACGUACAAGAAAAAUUCAAAUGUGGCCCGGAGAAUUUUUGUUAAAUUCUCCUUGGUCUAAAAAGAGCCCUCAAAUUUUAGUGGAAUUUUCAGAGCACAAAUAAUAAUUAUUAAGAAAUAAACAAAGUUAAAAUGAGUUUAUAAAAAGAAAAACCCUAAAAAGUCUUUUCCCCCCCCUUCCCCUCUUGGGCCGGCUCGGCCCACCUCCCUCCCUCUCUCUCCUCUCCCCCGCGGCCCAAUCGGCCUCCUCCCCGCGCGCGUGCCGCUGACGGGCGGGCCCGCCCGCCACCCUCGCUGACGGGUGGGGCCCACCCGUCAUCCCCUACCUCGCGCCGCGCCCGCCGCCUCGCCCGUGCCCUAGCGCCGCCGCCGCCGCGGAUUCCGCCGCAUCCCGCCGCCCCCGCGCGCAAUAAAGAGGGGGAAAUCACUCCCCGUGAUUCCCUCCCUCUUUCCCCCCCACUUUUCCCUAUCUCUCUCUCUCUCUCGGAUUCGUUUGGAAAUCCUCCCGCAAACUUCGCCGGCGUCAUUGAUGGAGCCGAGAUCGCCCGCGCCGGCCUCUCCUUCCUCCUCGUCGACGUCUCCUCCGGCAGCCCCUUCCGCCGCGCCCGUGCAUCAGCCGGCGCUGCCGUCCCCUCCCUCGGCGUCGCCGCAUCGCCCUCCACCCCGGCUGCUCCUCGGUUUCGCCGGAACGCCGUCGCAGCGCCGGCCUCUCCAUCCUCUUCGUCGCCAGCGUCCUUUCGGCCGCCCCUUCCUCCUCCCCGGCUCGUCGGCUUGCUGCACCUCUACCAUCUUCGGCAUCGCAGCCGCGACGUCGUCCUCGGCCUCGCCUCCCCUCCGACCGAACACCGCCGGUGUCCGUCGUCGUCUUCACCGUUCAUCCUCGCCGGCUCGCCGUCUCGCGGCGCCGCCUCCGUCGUCGGCAUCGCAGCGGUGUGUUCCACGCCAUCCUCGCCUCCGUGCAGCCGCUGCCGGCUGCCCUCGUCGUCUCCUCGCCGGCCCCGGUCGUCGUCGUCGUCGUCCUCUCGUCGUUCCCGGUCGUUGUGGCGUUCGUCCCUCCGUCAAGCCGUUCUCGUCCGCCGCCCGCGUUUCGUCAAGUGUGCAGCAGCCCCGUCGUCGUCUUCGUCCUCGCCUCCGCGUCGUCAAGCCUCGUGCCGGCCCUGUCUCGCCUUCGUCCCAGGAUCGCCGCCGAAGUCAUUCCCUCGCCGUCCGCCACGCCUGUUCGUCGUUGUUGUUCCCACGCCUCGUCGCGUGGUGGUAAGGAUCCGUCCUCUCGCUGCCCUGUCCUCGUCCUUUUGGUGUCGCCCCGUACCCGUUGUGCGGUCGUCGACCCCGGUACCCGUGUACCGGUGUCGGUAGUCGUUCACGUGUGCGGGUGGUGACCGUGUAGUGUCCGUGUUAGUGUGUUCGCUCGGUAGCCGCGUGGUUUCCACGUGUGCAGCCCGCGUGGUGUCUUGUGGAGUCCGUUUGUCGGCUACUCGCCUCGGUUGACACACGGGGUCCGCUUCCGUCGACCUGUGGACCGUCUCUGUGUACCUGGUCUACCGCGGUCCUUUAGGUUGACAUGUGGGGUCCGCAUGUCAACAGCGCAGCCUUCCUGUCUUUUCCAGGCUAGCGCUUCGACAUGUUUUAUUGUUGCAAAGCUUAAUUAUAAUAAUCCGCAAAUCUCCAUAUAACAGCACUAAACUUCGGAUGAUCAUAUCUUGGUCAUACGAACUCCGAAUCGACCCGUUCAAGUCUCUUAAUGUUUGUUAUAACCUAAAGAACCCUGUGCUUUCUUUUUAUGUAUUGUUAUUGCUUCUUUAUAGGCUUGUAGCUUUGCUUGUGUGCUUCGCGUAGUCUUCGUCGUUCCGGAGGUUCCCGAAGCGUGGUUUUCGGUCGUCGCCGAAGGUUCGGAAGGCCGUUCUCUCUGAGCAAGGCAAGUCACAUCAUCCUUGAACAUAUUGAAUCCCAGUUUAUAAAAUUAUUUUGAUUUAAAUUAUUGCAUUAUCGCUUUAUUUAAAUUCCCGCGUUAUCACUGUUUUAUUUAGCCAUGCCUAUUUACCUUUGUUAUGACCUUAUUAUUAUUGCUAUUGUUAUUAUUACCUUGUUCACCCUAGGAAAACAAUACCCCAACUAGUGGGUACUCUAUUCAUGGUUCCACUAGUAUGAAUUUAGGUAGAUGCUUCGCUGAUUAAAUAGGACAACAUUAGGUGGUUUUUAUAACUUUAGACUUUGGGAAUUCUCAUAUCAUUUGGACACUAUGGAAUGGUUGGCUUAUGGUGGAAUUGGACAUACACCUCUCUUCCUCUUUCAAAACCCCUAAAACCUGUUUUCCGGUGGGGUUUGGGUGCAUGCCAGUUGUGGGAAGUAGCACCCCGGCCACUAUAAGAAUUAAGCUCGGGCCUCUGUUGCAAAGCACUACCGUACUUCCACAUGUCUAGUGGGUAAGGCUUAGUUUGUGGCUCAGUCUGGUUAUAAACAAAAGUACACGGAUGGAGAUGGACGAAGUCGGGGGUCGAUGGACAUCUCUAGGACAAAUGAAGGCUACACGAGCUGCGGCCCGGUAGUCGAGAUGUCAUGGCACAGGGCUGGUGUCCUGCUGCUAGGGGCUCAAUCCUGCCUACCUGUCCCGGAGGUUCCGGCCGUAGGUGGGGUUGGGUCGGUACUCUUGUCUAUGGCUAGGAUGGGUUGGAAACUAUGUCACGUCUUCCGUCCGUAUACCAUGGUGGUAUGUGGCACGUGGUUACACGUGAGGAAGAUGUGUCUUGUGGGUAAAGAUGUACACCUCUGAUCAGAGUAUAAUCUAUUCGAAUAGCCGCGCCCUCGGUUAUGGGCAAGCCGAGCAAUGUACCCAAGUCAGUGUUUUAAUUCUUAAAAUUUGCUCAAUAACUAAAAUGUGGAAUGGUUGGCCUGGGUUGGCUUGGGACGAGCUGGGACCCAGGGUUGGGUUGCCAGUUCGGUCUGGAUCAUCGUAGGCCUUGGGUUAAGGCAGGUUCGUGAGGGUUCACGGCCUUGAUUAAUAAUACUGUGUAGCUCUAGGAUCGUCUUUAUAAAAUGGCUUUGGGCAACUAAGUGACUUUUAAAUGCUGUUUUCUGCAUAACUUAACCCCUAUAUCAUUACCCCUUGUACCCCCUUGCAUUAGUCGUGCAUCUGCCGGUGUGGCUUGCUGAGUACUGUGGUUGUACUCAUUCUUGCUCUAUCUUUCUCCCCCCUUCAGUAAGAGAUGCUUUGGAGAAGAAGUCUUAGGUGGAGUCUUGGCUUAUACCCCAGUUGAGCGCCUGUGAAGAUGGAGCCGUAGGCCCGCUAGUCCGCUGCUUUUUAUUUUUGAUUGUCAGGCCUUAAGUGCCUUUGUAAUAAUGUAAAUAUUAUCGAUAUAAUAAAGAUGUGUCUUUUAUAUCAUGUUUGUAUGGUGUACCCUGGCUUUUCCUGGGACGGGGAUUAAUACACUAGCGUUCGGGAAAAUGCAAUUUUCUCGGUCGCGACAAGCUGGUAUCAGAGCCAUCUCGACUGUAGGAUAAGCCAAGUGGAUAAAACCUAAGGACAUAUUUUAUAAAUAAAACUAUUUGCGAAAGUUCCUCUUUUUCUUCUUCCCCUAAUGCUAUUUGCAAAAGGUUUACCCUUUUCUUCCUUCUUCAAAUUUCAACUAGUACUAGAUGGUCAGGUCAGUGAAGAAGAAGACAUCGUCAGUUGUUCGCCGAAGCUCCGGAAGACUGCAGGAUCCGCUAGCGAAGUGGAGGAAGCAGUGAAGCCAGCUGUGAAGGAGUGAAGAUCUUGGAGAACCCGUCGCAGAACCUAAGCCACCCUAUAGGGUAGUGUUGUUAGUCGUGUGUUCCUUGCUUGUGUGUGUAGCGCGUGGUUUGCAUCGGUGGGUUGUGAUGUAACCAUGCUAGGUUGUUUGCUUAAUCAACUUGCAGAAUAAGUGAAACAAACAACAUAUCAACAAGAAGAGUUAGUUCCUUUAAGGUCUUGUCCCUAGUUCUGGUCCAUUCUUUCCUUGUCUGCUUCCCCUCUCAACCUCUACCUUGUGACAGAUGGAUAACACUGGUAACAAAGGCUAUGGGAAUGAUGGAUCCGAUGACUCAAGAACCCAAGCCAGUGGGAAUGAGAAAAGCAUCAACAAAACCUCACCAGAGCUAAUCCAAAUUGUGGUUAACCAAACCAACAUGUUGGCAACAGCCUUUCAACUAUUACAGAAUUGGAACAACCCAGCAGGGACAACCAACGUUCAAGUACCUACAGUCCAGCAACAGUGCAAGUUAUCAGAAUUUCUCAAAACUGAGCCUCCAACCUUUGCCAUUGCCGUCGAUCCUAUGGAAGCCAGUGAUUGGUUGCGCACAAUCGAGAAGAAGCUAGGGUUGAUUCAGUGCACCGACCAGGAGCGGGUUGGCUUCGCAACUCCUCAGCUGGUUGGACCGGCUUCAGAGUGGUGGGAUAGCUACGAAGCAUCACGGCCAGAAGGACAUACCAUCACCUGGAACGAGUUUUCAUCUGUAUUCAGGAGAUCACAUGUUCCCGCAGGAAUGAUCACAUUAAGAAAAUGAGAGUUUCGCUAUCUGAAGCAAGGAGAUUUGACCGUCACAAAGUACCUGCACGAGUUCUAUCGUUUGGCUCACUAUGCACCAGAAGAUGUGGAAACAGAUGAAGACAAACAAGAGAAGUUUCUCCAGGGGUUAAAAGAUGAGCUUGCAGUGCAACUCCUUCUAGAGGAUUACUAAGAUUUUGAGAAACUUGUGGACAAAGCCAUGCAACUCGAAAGUGAGCAUAAUCGGAUGACGAACUGCAAGAGGAGGAUUGUCAACAUCCCAGUAUUUCCAUGUGGUAACCAAAGACAGCGCACUGAGCCACUUCAGAUCACCGGAUCUUCUGUUGUGCAUCAAGAGUUCCUGCCCCAAGAAGAUGGACGCAAUGCAGACAACAACACUAGCAAUACUAAUGAUGAUGAUACCACCAACAACCAUGGUUCUUGCCUCAUUAGCGACCACUCGAAUAAAGCGUGCAAUGUCAGUAGCAUUCACCAAGAUGUCAACGAUAGUAUCAAUGUUGGAAUCCAGAAUGACAACCUUAGCAAUUUUGACACUGAGAAAGACUCCAAUGGUGAUAGCAACUAUGGUACCACUGAUGCCAAUGUUAGCAAGGAUUUCCAACCACCAAUUCCAACUCCAAGUCAAAAUGAUCGUCCCCAGAUGGACAGCUCAACAAAGAAGACGUUGAUUUGUUACAACUGCAAAGAACCAGGUCAUUUCUCUAGAGAUUGUCCACAGCCGAAGCGUAACCUACGCCAUCACUCCGGCCAUUAUGCAAGAAGAAGACAAGUCACUCGCCUUGUGGUCACUGGAGCAAACGCCAUACCUGUGAGGCCUCGAGUUAAUCAUAACCCAUAGUAGAAACAAUGUACCGAUGUUAAGCAUCUUCCCUUUUUGUUUAAGGUAGUGCCUUGUAUUCAUGUAAUAAGGGAGAAAUGUGUAAUACAGACAAGUUCUAUUAGGAUUCUUUUGGAAGAUGCGGAUAUGUGAUUAUGUGUAUAAUUGCUUACUGAUAAAGGAGACCUAGGGUCUCAUUUCAGAGGAAUCAUAUACUAAUCUCGAGUUAAUAACCAACCUGUUGAUGGCGAAGAAAAUCAAGUGAUCAACCAAAGAGACAUUUGUUUGGACUAAGAGUUUCAGAUGUGUCUUCUUCGGAUCAAAGGCAACAAUCGUCAGUCUAGCUUUUGACGAACUACUUCAAGGUUUCUCUGAAAGGCAGCAAGCCAAAGGACCUCAUCGUCCCCAGAAGCGUCCGCAAUCCACAUUAAAGAAUACCACCUGUUAGAGAUAAGCCGAAAGAAGAUUGAUAAAAGAGAUUGGCAAAGAUGUUCUCUAGCAUGAAAGAAGUAGGCCGAAAGGUGAUUGAUAAACAGAAACAUGCUCUGCAUCGCUCAAGGAAGACCCCUGAUUGUAAUUGCCCCGCAACAGUCACCUUGUCAUUAAGUAAGCAAGAUGACCUGGGUAAAAGUGUUUCUAUGAAGGCAAAGAGUGAAAUCUUCAACUCGGUAUCAGAUGCUACACGGAGUGAAAAGUGCAAGCACCGGUUACCAGGCAAUGCCAUGUCUUGGGAGAUGAUCCAAUGGGAAAGAACACAUCAAGGUUAAAGGUAUAAAGGAAUACGUUGAAUGCUAACUGAGGACAACCUGAAGAUAAUAAUGGGAAGUAAACUGAAUGUAAAGAAAGUGAAUCCGAGUUGCUUGUUCGUGAGAGCUAUUCCCAGUUAUGAAUCAAGUGAUAUGUUCGAAGAUAAUCUAUAGAGGUCAGAUUAAAAGCACAUCUAACAACGAAGCCUCAGAUUUGGCAGGAUAAUGAUUAGACAAUAACAAAUCCAGCAAUAAAGCCAUUUGGGAAGACGUCAAAGUAUGUCAAGUGGGAUAAGUUGGUUCUCUUGGGAAGCAUAAUUCAAAGGCAAAGUUAUCGACCCUUGCAUCAAAUAGCAGAAGUAGCUAUUACCCGGAGACCGGGAAAGCUAAUAUGAGGCAGUUGGUGGCAAGUUAGAAGUGAAUGACAAGCACGAUAUUCUUAUGAUGACAAAUAUGGUAUCCUAGUAAUGACAAGCUAGUGUUGACGCAUGACAUGAAGUGGUAACUUGUAUGAGGUUGACUCCGAAGGUAUGAAUCAUGAGAAGUUCUGGAGCGGAAGCAUCAUUAAACUACCGCAACCUAGUCUGAGUCAGCUAAAAGGUGCGCCCUGGUUCAAGUCAGGUGAAGAGAAGAUUCCAUCCGCAACAGGAGGUCGAGCCAAGCAGUCCAGAGUGGAGAAGUUUUGCUAGGCAAGUUCGUUAUAGAAGACGCGACGGAAGAAGUCAAACAAGAAGAGAAGACCGCCCAACCUAUCUUCAUGCUAGCCUCCUCGAAUCUCGGGGACGAGAUUCUUGUAAGGGGGGUGGAUUUGUCACGUCCUGAUAAAUUCAUCCCGAAAUAAAAAUCAUUUUCUAAAAGGAAUAAUAGAAUUAAUUAAAAUUCGAAAAGAAAUUGGCAAACACUAAAAUACGUACAAGAAAAAUUCAAAUGUGGCCCGGAGAAUUUUUGUUAAAUUCUCCUUGGUCUAAAAAGAGCCCUCAAAUUUUAGUGGAAUUUUCAGAGCACAAAUAAUAAUUAUUAAGAAAUAAACAAAGUUAAAAUGAGUUUAUAAAAAGAAAAACCCUAAAAAGUCUUUUCCCCCCUUCCCCUCUUGGGCCGGCUCGGCCCACCUCCCUCCCUCUCUCUCCUCUCCCCCGCGGCCCAAUCGGCCUCCUCCCCGCGCGCGUGCCGCUGACGGGCGGGCCCGCCCGCCACCCUCGCUGACGGGUAGGGCCCACCCGUCAUCCCCUACCUCGCGCCGCGCCCGCCGCCUCGCCCGUGCCCUAGCGCUGCCGCCGCCGCGGAUUCCGCCGCAUCCCGCCGCCCCCGCGCGCAAUAAAGAGGGGGAAAUUGUCACGCCCAGAAAUUCACUAGUAAUUUCCGAACUUAUUUGUGCAUAAAAUCCUCGUCCAGGAAUCAGCCGAGGUACACAAACUGACAAUUUAAUAUACAGAAUCAUCAAUAAUAGUGUUACAUACUUUCAAAAGAAAAGAAAACUGCAGCGGAAUUACGGUCUAGCGAAGGUCCGGCUCCACUCCCACAGGCAGCUCAACUGGGGUAUAAGCCAAACGUCUUCUCCUUCUGGAUCCUUUUUCUUCAACUGAGGUUGAUUGAUUAUUGCAAGAAUGAGCAUAUGACAUACUCAACAAGCCACACAGCAAAUAUGCAAGUGCACAAGGAUACCAAAGGAUGGCAUAAUAUAGGCUCAUUUGCAAAAGCAGCAUUUAGCAAAACAUUUAAGAGGAGUAAAACAGUGGAGUAAUUAAUCAGAAAUUUUAAUCAACACUGAACAGCACACCCAUGCUGCACAGGCCCAACCAUCCUGAACAACCAUACCCGGCUGUACAGAUCUAACUCCAAACCAGGAGCUAAGCAAAUUAUUACCAGAUAUAACAUCCAUAAUUAUUGUGAGAGGUGUGAGACUAAUCACGAAAAACAUUGCUCAACCCGCCCAUAACCGCGGGCACGGCUAUUCGAAUAGUUUUACUCUGGCCAGAGGUGUACCACUGUACCCACAAGACACAGCCUCCUCAUCAUGUCUACCAUGCGUCGCGAUACUGGAAAGUACCCGAAUAGAGGCUGUGACAAUACCCUUUGCACAACACAACUCACCACAGUGCACCAUUCCUGGAUCAUAAUCACCCCCUCUAUAAAUAUAACCAGAGGCAUGGACUCCCCAGCGACCCCCACGGACUUCUCGCCGCUUCUCAGUCUGGUGCCCCGCAAUGAAUCAUGCUAUACAGAAGGUAAAGCCGUUGCCCAUGCUGGCUUGUGGUUGGUACGGUUAAUGUUUCACAACAGUAGCUCGUGAACCGGUCCUUAAUUGUCAUGAGCACGACCUUCAAAACCAUGUGCUCACAACCCACCAUUGUCAAGUUUUAGUUAUCAAUUAAUUAUCAUAACACGAUUAACCAUCGUGAGCUACGAUUAAACCAUCAUUAAACAAUGAGUCAUAAGUUAUCCCAAUAGUGUGCUAAUGUUUCUAAGCAUGGCUAAGCAAUCAUAUCUAAUAUCUAGCUGAACCAAUAUAUAAAGCUCAACUAGUCAAGUUAUAAUAACCCAAGGUAUCAAGGAAUAAAGUAAUCAAUGCAAAUUGGCCAUAACAAAGGAAUAGGUUCACACCACCCGGUGACAUUCGAAAAUAAAUGCACAGUUGAAAUAAAUAGAGAAUUUAAAUAUAGGAUCAACAUGCUCAAAGGAUUGUGUUUAGGGUCUGUGUGACUUGCCUUGCAAUAAUCGGUCUUCAAUUAAUCUUAUUGAAUACUUCCGGCGCACUCACGAACCUUCGCAACGACGGAAACGACAAACUAACACGCAAAACGAAGAAAAAGACUAAUAAAAACCAAAUAAACAGUACAUAUAAAGUAAACAAACAUGUAGAUCCUGAUUUUAGAUGAAUUUAGCAACUUGAACCACUCAAAACCGAGUUACGAUGAUUUAGUUAUGAAUUUCCGAAGAUUUAAUCUAUUAGAAAAACAGGAAAAAGAAAAAAAACGAUGAUGACGUCAUGAUGAUGACCUCAUCAAUGGCCGAACCAAGAUGGCGACCUCGCCGGAGAUUGGAUGGUCGGCUGCGACUUUGGAGGACAAGAACACGUAGAGGACGACGAGACGAACCCAACGGUACCCACCCUCGAACCAAACGACGAACGACGACGGCCGGCGACGAGGUCUAGCGGCGGCGCGGCUUCGGUCGACGGCGGCGACGGGGCUGCGGUGGUGGGCGGCUUCGGGGAGAUAGCGGCCGGGCUUCUCCACCCUCCCGCGCACCUAACGGUGGUAACGGCGACCGGCGGCGACGACGGAGGCGGCGGCGCGACGCGGAUGGAGCUCGGCCGGCGACGACGGCGGGGUGGAGCACGUGGCGGCGGCGCUACGAGGCACGGGAGACCACGGGAGAGGGGGCAAACGAAAGAGGAGGACUAGGGGGUCCUAUUUAUAGCCUUGGAUUGAAGAGAUCGGACUCCUCCCGCAAGAAAUCGAUCCGGGAAAUCAAAAACUCGGUUUUGGAGAUAAACUCGAAAACGAGUUCGAUUCGGAUAAGAUACUCAACGAUUAGCUCCGAUUUUUGGGGGUAAAGAUAGAGGAGGAUAAGAGGAAUAUUUCCCCUCAACUAAUUUUAGAAAAACACAAGGGGAAAGGUCAGAUUUGGAGGAGAAAAACCGAGCCAAAUCGGUCUCAGUUCGGCUGCUAGAGGUAGAAGAUAAACAGUGUCGAGGGAGGCAAAUUAGACUUUUCGUCUUGGGCUGGCUGAAAACAAAGCAAAGAAAGAAAGAGAAGGGGGAAGCUCGGCUGGGCCGACUUGGGCUGCACGGCCGUGCAGACAAAAGAGGGAGAUGGGCUGGAAAGGGCCCAAGACUAGGAAGAGGAUUAUUAUUACUUUUCCAAUUAAAUUAAUCAAUGAAAUGAUCUUUAAAUUGUUAAAAAUACUUCCUAUGCUCAAAUAAUUCCAAGAAAAAUCUUGAACAUACUUGGACACCCAAAGUAUUUAACAAUAUUAAAAAAAGACCAUUUAAUGAUUAAUUUAAUAUGUGGGUAAUUACUGAAAUGCUCUUUGUAUGAUUAAAAAUUAAGAAUUGAGCUCCGAAACAUCUGAGAAAAUUUCAGAGAGUGUAAUUAAUCAUGGAGAAUUUAAUCAAAAUUAAAUCCAUCCAUGCUUUAUAUUUAGGAAAUUUUAUUUCCCACAUUUAACUUCACUUGUAAAUUAAUGAACAUUUAAUAUAAAUUCUAAUAAUAAUUUAUUAAAUAAUUUAUAAAUCCUGAAACAAAAAUCAGGAUGUGACAGAAAUCACUCCCCGUGAUUCCCUCCCUCUUUCCCCCCCACUUUUCCCUCUCGCUCUCUCUCUCGGAUUCGUUUGGAAAUCCUCCCGCAAACUUCGCCGGCGUCAUUGAUGGAGCCGAGAUCGCCCGCGCCGGCCUCUCCUUCCUCCUCGUCGACGUCUCCUCCGGCAGCCCCUUCCACCGCGCCCGUGCAUCAGCCGGCGCUGCCGUCCCCUCCCUCGGCGUCGCCGCAUCGCCCUCCACCCCGGCUGCUCCUCGGUUUCGCCGGAACGCCGUCGCAGCGCCGGCCUCUCCAUCCUCUUCAUCGCCAGUGUCCUUUCGGCCGCCCCUUCCACCUCCCCGGCUCGUCGGCUUGCUGCACCUCUACCAUCUUCGGCAUCGCAGCCGCGACGUCGUCCUCGGCCUCGCCUCCCCUCCGACCGAACACCGCCGGUGUCCGUCGUCGUCUUCACCGUUCAUCCUCGCCGGCUCGCCGUCUCGCGGCGCCGCCUCCGUCGUCGGCAUCGCAGCGGUGUGUUCCACGCCAUCCUCGCCUCCGUGCAGCCGCUGCCGGCUGCCCUCGUCGUCUCCUCGCUGGCCCCGGUCGUCGUCGUCGUCGUCCUCUCGUCGUUCCCGGUCGUUGUGGCGUUCGUCCCUCCGUCAAGCCGUUCUCGUCUGCCGCCCGCGUUUCGUCAAGUGUGCAGCAGCCCCGUCGUCGUCUUCGUCCUCGCCUCCGCGUCGUCAAGCCUCGUGCCGGCCGUGUCUCGCCUUCGUCCCAGGAUCGCUGCCGAAGUCGUUCCCUCGCCGUCCGCCGCGCCCGUUCGUCGUUGUCGUUCCCACGCCUCGUCGCGUGGUGGUAAGGAUCCGUCCUCUCGCUGCCCCGUCCUCGUCCUUUUGGUGUCGCCCCGUACCCGUUGUGCGGUCGUCGACCCCGGUACCCGUGUACCGGUGUCGGUAGUCGUUCACGUGUGCGGGUGGUGACCGUGUAGUGUCCGUGUUAGUGUGUUCGCUCGGUAGCCGCGUGGUUUCCACGUGUGCAGCCCGCGUGGUGUCUAGUGGAGUCCGUUUGUCGGCUACUCGCCUCGGUUGACACACGGGGUCCGCUUCCGUCGACCCGUGGACCGUCUCUGUGUACCUGGUCUACCGCGGUCCUUUAGGUUGACAUGUCGGGUCCGCAUGUCAACAGCGCAGCCUUCCUGUCUUUUCCAGGCUAGCGCUUCCACAUGUUUUAUUGUUGCAAAGCUUAAUUAUAAUAAUCCGCAAAUCUCCAUAUAACAGCACUAAACUUCGGAUGAUCAUAUCUUGGUCAUACGAACUCCGAAUCGACCCGUUCAAGUCUCUUAAUGUUUGUUAUAACCUAAAGAACCCUGUGCUUUCUUUUUAUGUAUUGUUAUUGCUUCUUUAUAGGCUUGUAGCUUUGCUUGUGUGCUUCGCGUAGUCUUCGUCGUUCCGGAGGUUCCCGAAGCGUGGUUUUCGGUCGUCGCCGAAGGUUCGGAAGGCCGUUCUCUCUGAGCAAGGCAAGUCACAUCAUCCUUGAACAUAUUGAAUCCCAAUUUAUAAAAUUAUUUUGAUUUAAAUUAUUGCAUUAUCGCUUUAUUUAAAUUCCCGCGUUAUCACUGUUUUAUUUAGCCAUGCCUAUUUACCUUUGUUAUGACCUUAUUAUUAUUGCUAUUGUUAUUAUUACCUUGUUCACCCUAGGAAAACAAAACCCCAACUAGUGGGUACUCUAUUCAUGGUUCCACUAGUAUGAAUUUAGGUAGAUGCUUCGCUGAUUAAAUAGGACAACAUUAGGUGGUUUUUAUAACUUUAGACUUUGGGAAUUCUCAUAUCAUUUGGAUACUAUGGAAUGGUUGGCUUAUGGUGGAAUUGGACAUACACCUCUCUUCCUCUUUCAAAACCCCUAAAACCUGUUUUCCGGUGGGGUUUGGGUGCAUGCCAGUUGUGGGAAGUAGCACCCUGGCCACUAUAAGGAUUAAGCUCGGGCCUCUGUUGCAAAGCACUACCGUACUUCCACAUGUCUAGUGGGUAAGGCUUAGUUUGUGGCUCAGUCUGGUUAUAAACAAAAGUACACGGAUGGAGAUGGACGAAGUCGGGGGUCGAUGGACAUCUCUAGGACAAAUGAAGGCUACACGAGCUGCGGCCCGGUAGUCGAGAUGUCAUGGCACAGGGCUGGUGUCCUGCUGCUAGGGGCUCAAUCCUGCCUACCUGUCUCGGAGGUUCCGGCCGUAGGUGGGGUUGGGUCGGUACUCUUGUCUAUGGCUAGGAUGGGUUGGAAACUAUGUCAUGUCUUCCGUCCGUAUACCGUGGUGGUAUGUGGCACGUGGUUACACGUGAGGAAGAUGUGUCUUGUGGGUAAAGAUGUACACCUCUGAUCAGAGUAUAAUCUAUUCGAAUAGCCGCGCCCUCGGUUAUGGGCAAGCCGAGCAAUGUACCCAAGUCAGUGUUUUAAUUCUUAAAAUUUGCUCAAUAACUAAAAUGUGGAAUGGUUGGCCUGGGUUGGCUUGGGACGAGCUGGGACCCAGGGUCGGGUUGCCAGUUCGGUCUGGAUCAUCGUAGGCCUUGGGUUAAGG
rnacentral:lncRNA from 1 species